rnacentral:rRNA from 1 species
AGCGAACGCUGGCGGCAGGCCUAACACAUGCAAGUCGAACGGACCCUUCGGGGUUAGUGGCGGACGGGUGAGUAACACGUGGGAACGUGCCUUUAGGUUCGGAAUAGCUCCUGGAAACGGGUGGUAAUGCCGAAUGUGCCCUUCGGGGGAAAGAUUUAUCGCCUUUAGAGCGGCCCGCGUCUGAUUAGCGAGUUGGGGAGGGAAAGGCUCACCAAGGCGACGAUCAGUAGCUGGUCUGAGAGGAUGACCAGCCACAUUGGGACUGAUACACGGCCCAAACUCCUACGGGAGGCAGCAGUGGGGAAUCUUGCGCAAUGGACGAAAGCAUGACGCAGCCAUGCCGCGUGAAUGAUGAAGGUCUUAGGAUUGUAAAAUUCUUUCACCGGGGACGAUAAUGACGGUACCCGGAGAAGAAGCCCCGGCUAACUUCGUGCCAGCCGCCGCCGUAACAC